rnacentral:rRNA from 1 species
UACGUAGGGGGCAAGCGUUGUCCGGAUUUAUUGGGCGUAAAGAGCGUGUAGGCGGCCAAGUAGGUCAGCUGUGAAAACUCGAGGCUCAACCUCGAGACGUCGGUUGAAACCGCUUGGCUAGAGUCCGGAAGAGGAGAGUGGAAUUCCUGGUGUAGCGGUGAAAUGCGCAGAUAUCAGGAAGAACACCCGUGGCUAAGGCGGCUCUCUAGUACGGUACUGACGCUGAGACGCGAAAGCGUGGGGAGCGAACAGG